UUAGCUUGCAACGCUGGAUGCGCUGGACACGAUCACGCAACGCACGGACUAUCGGCAUAACCUACAAAAAGAAUUUUUGGAUUAUUCAUUGCACGUGUACCAAUGAUAUAUUGGAUUGAACUAACAAUAAGAAACGUGUACAUACGCAUUCUCCGUAGAAUCGAAGUAAUCGGAAUUACAGCUCAGAUAAAUAGAAAUUAAUUAUCCUAAUUAUCUUUUAAAUAUAAGGAUCUGCUUUCGAUUCCGCACAGACUGAACAUAAAUUAUUUUAACACAGGAAAGUAAGGUAAACUUAGACCUAACCUCCAAUAGCAAUUAUAGUUUUAAAUUCGGGCAAUACGUUAGCAUUGCUCGAAAAGUUCAUUUUUCGAUGCUCAUUGCAUGCUUGCAGUGUGUUUGUUUUUUAAUUCUCUUGUUCUUUUAUUUUAUUCUAUUUUAUUCACAUUUUAUUUAUCAAUAUGCCUAAGGAUUACCAAUACUUAUCAAAAAGACGUAAAAAUCAAAUAAUUAAAUUAAAACUGUCAAAUAUUAAUAAUGAUAAAAAUCAUAAUAUUCCUAAAAUUUCUAACGAUUAUGAUGUAAGAAUAUCGGCUGAUUGCACACACAAUUUACCAUUAACAAAAAUUAAUACUCUUGGCGAAUUCAAUAACACAAAAUCAAAUCCUAAUAAUGAUAAUAAUGAUGAUAAUUAUGAUAAUGAUAAUGAUGAUAAUUAUGAUAAUGAUAAUGAUAAUGAUGAUAAUUAUGACAAUAACAAUAAUAACGAUUUAACUUUCUUAAAUAACAUGUUUUCGGCAGAACCUACAUCCGAUUCUUUAUCUAAUUCAAUAAUUGAUGAAAUAUUUAUUAAUAAUGAUUUCAAACAAACUAGUAUGCACGAAGAUCUACAAAUGAUGGUUUCAGAACGAUGUAUUCUACAGGCAACUGUGUGUUAACCAUAUGUUGCAAAUUUUACGCAAACAUGGUCACACUGAUUUACCUCUCGAUUGUAGAUCUCUGAUGAGCACACCUCGUAAUGCUUCUGAAAAUAUAAAGUUAAUUAGUGGUGAAAAAUAUAAGCAUUUCGGUUUUGUACCUGGCAUGAUACGUUGUUUGAAAACCUAUUUUAAACUGCCGCCAACAGAAAUAAAAAUUAAUAUUAAUAUUGAUGGUCUGCCAUUGAGCAAAAGUUCUGGUAGUCAAUUUUGGCCUAUUCUUAUUUCUAUUGAAACAAAUAUGAUGUAUACUGAGCCAUUUGUAGUAGGUAUGUAUCAUGGCAUGUCCAAGCCAAACGAUGCAAAUGAAUUUUUGCGCCCUUUUGUCGAAGAAGCUAGUGUGGUUUUACAAAAUGGGUUAAUUAAUGGUCAAAGUUGCAAUGUUGUUAUUAAUGCUAUAUUGUAUGACGCACCCGCAAAAUCAUUUAUAACAUAUACGAAAGGUCAUACAGGAUAUUUUGCAUGUUCUAAAUGUAUACAAGAAGGAGAUUUUAUAUGCAUCAGAGUGACAUAUCCUGAAAUUAAUUCACCAUUACGAAUCUUUUUGUCAGCGUACUCAACCCGAACACCACACAGGGACUUCUAUGUUAGAAAAUCUCAACAUUGACAUGAUUUCUCAAGUACCUUUAGAUUAUAUGCAUCUUAUUUGUUUAGGAUUAAGACGUUUAUGCCAAUUUUGGAUUAGAGGACCAAAAGAUGUGAGAUUACCAACCGAAAAAUUAGAUGCUUUAAAUAAACUUUUACUGGAAACUGAGCAGUUUAUUAUACUGGAAUUUGCGAGAAAGCCCAGAAGUUUAGACCAUAUUGACAAAUGAAAAGCUACUGAGAUGCGUCUUUUCAUACUUUAUAUUGGACCGGUCAUAUUAAAGCCAUUUCUGCCGGCGACUUUUUAUAAUCAUUUUUUGGCUCUCAGUAUAGCUCUCCGUAUAUUAGCUGAUCAAGAACUGUGUUAUGAAAAAAAUGAUUAUGCACAUUCGCUGUUAGUGUGGUUUGCGUCGGAAUAUGGUAAUUUAUAUGGAUCUGAACAUCUUUCGCAUAACGUUCAUAAUGUAGUGCAACGACGUUAAAACUUUCGGAUGCUUGGACAAUUUUAGCUGUUUUAAAUUCGAAAAUCACAUGCAAAAAAUUAAAAAACAACUUAAAAAUUCCGGUAAACCAUUGCAAGAAUUUUCAAAUCGACUAAAUGAACUGAAUCAAAUUCCGCCAGAUCAACGAUAUUUGAAACACUAUCCAAUCGUAAAUUAUUCCAAAUUCAAUAAUAAUCAAAUAAUUUCUCACCUUGAAUUUAAUAGUUUUAAAGUGUUUACUAAAAAGGCGAAAAUUAUACUUUAUUGAAAGAUAAUACUAUAGCUUCAAUUUUAAAGAUUAUCGAAGAAAAUAAUAAUUUAUAUGUACAAAUUAAACAAAUUCUAAAAGUUAAACCAUUUUUCACUACAUCUUGCGAUUCUAGACAAAUUGGUAUAUUCACAUUUUCUACAACAAGUACUUUUAAGAUCAUAAAAGUACCAGCAAUAAAUAUUAAAAGAAAAUGUAUUAAAUUAAAUCAUCCUACAUGUUCAGAUACUUAUGUAAUAAUUACUUUAUUACAUGGACAUAAUUAAAUCUUAGUAAAAAAACGUAAUAUACAUAUUUUGAAAUGUUUUACAAUAUAAAAUAUUAAUUAUAUAAUUUUUUUUAACAAAAACUACUAGAAAAAUAGAUAAAAAAGUUACCUAAUUACAUUUAUAAGUUUAUAAGUUUAUUAACAUAUUACUAUAUUUACUAAUAUAUAUUGACAUAUACCAAAAGUACAUAAAAAACUAUUUUCGUAACUUCUUACACUUUAACACCUUGACUUAUGAAUCGGAGUUUAGUAGAUGGAUUAAAAUUUUUGAUCUAUGAAUAAAAACAUUACAUUGAAAAUGUGUCUAUUCAAUAUUAAUGUAGACUAUAUUAGUUGUACCUUACAAAGAGUUUUUUUUGUUUGAAUAUGAACAGGAUACUUUGAUGAAUGUAUAAAUUAAAUAUAAUGUUUGGAAGUAUAAAUAUAGAACUACAAUAAUAUCUAUGAAUUGCGGAGAUUAAUAAUCAUUAGUUAUAUGAUAAUUUGUUCAAAUUAUCAUACAACUAAUUAAAAACAGCAAGUAGGCCAUAUUGGAUACAAGAAAAUAUUGAACAUACAUUUAUCUUAUAUCUUCUAACUUCUUCUAAAAUAUUUAAUAAAAUAUUUCUAGUAAAUAUGUUGUACUUUUCAGACAUUUCUACAAAAUUGACAUCACAAAGAUAUUAAAAAUACUAAGUAUGUUAGACUCUCGAAACUGUCAAAAAUAAAACUUAAAAAGGGCUAAUGAGAGUAAACUCGCGGUAGUUAAUGCGCAAUAAUUUUUAAUAACGUCCUUUUUACAUAAGUUACUUCUUUCUUAGCAUGAACGUUUCAGUCCCACUUCGGAUCAUCUUCAGCAUAUAUUAAUUUUUGACUUAUUACCUCUGUGGAAUAAUCGUCAAGUGUCCCUCAGUGAGUCCACAAUGCUACAAAGGAAAUAAGUCAAAAAUAUAUGCUGAAGAGAAUAGUUUGAAGCGGGACCAAAACGUUCAGGCUAAGAAGAAGGUGAUGUUAUGUAAAAAAGACUGUUAUUAAAAUUAUUGCGCACCAACUACUGCGCGUUUAUUCUUAUUAGCCUUUUUCAAGUUUUAUUUUUAACAAAUAUAUUGUAUAUUUCCUUCAAUAAAUAAAUUUAUUUUCAAGUUAAUAAUGUCCAAAAAUACAUGGUGAAAGUAUGGCGUCGUCAGAGAUACCUUCUACAAGUAGCUUUCUUCCGUAUGCAGUAGUCCGUUUCCUUUGCGAAGACAGUUUUUCUGAAGUGCCAACCAACUGGAUUGAAAAUAACGGUACUUCAGCUGAAGUAGCAAAUUUUUGUUGGUGGUCUAUAACAAAAAGGUCAGUACAUUGAUUGAAAAUCGUGUACAACCGAGAGAAGACAUGGAUGAAGUACGAUAUUGAGAUACAAAAAUACUGCUCUUCACUCAUAACCGCGCGAAAAGCAGCGUCCGACUACUUAACAACUGAUGAUGAUGCUUAGGCAGAGGUUUGCGAAAACCAAUGCCACGUGAACAGUCUGAUUCCGAAUAUGAAGAGGAAGAAAAACGCGUUGAAGCUCCUAAGAAACUAUCAGAGAAAAAGAGAUUAAAAAGUUUUCAAAAAUUGAUGCCACGUGAACAGUCUGAUUUUGAAUGCGAAGAGGAAGAGAAACGCAUUGUAACUCCUAAAAAACUACCAGAAAAAAAAAUUUAAAAGAGACGUAUUACACGGUACAACAAAAUGCAAUACAUAAUUUUUCUGCCGAUUUAAAUGUUACUCCAUUGGACUUGACUGAUAUUCCGAUAAUUAUAACCGACAACGAAAAUGUUAAUAAGAUAAACUUUAAUUAUGACAGAUUACAAGAAAUUUGUAGACUUCAAACAGCGACAUAUUUCGAAGUUCAAAACAUUUCUCGCCGACUUGCCAAAUUAGAACGCAAGCAACAGAACGUGCCAGUUGCUAAUGAAAAUGAAGAGGAUUUGGUGAAGGAACUUUUACCAUUAAAGACAAUCGUUGAAAUAAAAUAUUUUGAUAAAAUAAUCACAGAUAGUGCCAUAACAGCAUCACAAUUUAAACGGAUUAUUUCAAAAAUAGGAGGCACGACAUCGAGGGAUAGUAACCAUCGCGCUUUUGAUCGAACUGUAUGCAAUGAAUGUGCAAUGUAUUGUUCUUGGAAGGGUUUGAGGGCCAAUUUCAAAGUAUGCCAUUUAAGAUUGGUGAAAAUAAUAAAAGAAAUAAUAUGCAAGGUUAUUAUAUGCAAUAUACAGCACAUUUACGGAAACAGAAUUUGACGCUGUAGCUUCGGAGUGGCUUCGAUUCGCCAAACAACGAGCUGGACGUCAAGCACAAAAGGCAGCAGCAACACUAGCUGCAGAAGAAGCCGUAAAUAAUAAUUAAAAAAUGGCAAACUUAUGAUUUUUUUAAUUUGUUCAAACAUUUAUAUA